rnacentral:rRNA from 1 species
AUUGAACGCUGGCGGAAUGCUUUACACAUGCAAGUCGAGCGGCAGCACGGGGGCAACCCUGGUGGCGAGCGGCGAACGGGUGAGUAAUACAUCGGAACAUGCCCAGUCGUGGGGGAUAACACUUCGAAAGAAGUGCUAAUACCGCAUACGUCCUGAGGGGGAAAGCGGGGGAUCGCAAGACCUCGCGCGAUUGGAGUGGCCGAUGUCAGAUUAGCUAGUUGGUGGGGUAAAGGCCUACCAAGGCAACGAUCUGUAGCUGGUCUGAGAGGAUGAUCAGCCACACUGGGACUGGGACACGGCCCAGACUCCUACGGGAGGCAGCAGUGGGGAAUUUUGGACAAUGGGGGCAACCCCGAUCCAGCCAUUCCGCGUGAGUGAAGAAGGCCUUCGGGUUGUAAAGCUCUUUCGGCAGGAACGAAACGGUGAGCUCUAACAUAGCUUGCUAAUGACGGUACCUGAAGAAGAAGCACCGGCUAACUACGUG